UUUCUACUCCCUCCGUCCGAAAAUACUUGUCAUCAAAAUGGAUAAAAAGAGAUGUAUCUAAAACUAAAAUACGUCUAGAUACAUUUCCUUUUAUCCAUUUUGAUGACAAGUAUUUCUGGACAGAGGGAGUAUUUG
rnacentral:pre_miRNA from 1 species